GCAACAUUUUUUAAAUUAUUUCACAUACUUUUUCUUGUUUCUAUAAGUAGCAAUCUUAGAUUUAAUAUUAAUAUUUAAUAGUGUACCUAUAAAUUUGUGUCUAUCAUUAUAUAAUGUAACUCUUUACCUCCAUCACAAGCAUAUGCUUAAGGGAGGUAGAUAAUUUAUUGUAAAAUUUAAUCUUAAUGUUUUAAUUUACUUGUAUUAUAAGUGUUUUCUUUACAAUAAAAAAUCAAAAAAAAAAAAAAAAUCUAUACGGUUAUUUGUUUUUGAAUUAAGACAAAAUAACAUAAUCGAUUUGGUCAAAAAUUAGUUAUGCGUUAAAAUUGGGUAUAUAUACAUAGGCGUAACUAGGAGGGGACUUUGGUGUCUAACCCGCCCCCCCUUGAAACAAAUUUUAGCCCCCCUGUCAAAAUGUCUAGUCCCACCAACGGUAGGUUCAUUUUUCAAAUUUAAUUUUAAAUAUCGUUUUUUUUUUUAUUAAUAUCUUGGAAAAAUAUUUAUUUUUUUUGGUUAUCAAAUUGUUGUGUAAACUGUAAUGGCCCUGUGUAGGACGUAAUAAGACGUAAUACGUAUCAUGUAUUCAUGUCGUGUAGUUUUAACUACAUAAAUACUACUUAGAAGUUAGAAGUUGUCAACAAACUAAACAGUAAACAUAAAAAUAGUCGUCAAAGAAUGGUGAUAAACGUCAAUCGCUGUGCCUGCGAGCCGCAUAUAAGGGUUUUUUGCUAAAAAUAGAAUCAGUUAUCAGAUUAUAUAUUAUUAUCUUCGUCAUUCUCCAAGUACACUGUACGGCGGUUGUGUGUUUAUGUCUGAUAAUUGGUACUCGAGUCUACGUCGUUAUUAUUUUUCUUGAUUAAAACGGUAUGGUGACAGCUUUUCAUCGAAAUCCGUGUUUAGUUUAAAUAAUUAAUCUUGUUCAUCACGGGUUUUACGCGCUUGUUGUUGUUUUCCUCACUUGGUGGUAGUAACCUACUUAGUCAUGUCGAAAAAAAACGAUAUUUUUAACAUUUUUAAAAUGAAACCACGGGAAUCAACUCCAAGCAUUGUGAAUCCACAUGAUACUUCUAGUGAUCUGAUGGGUCCUAAAGAUUUGGGAAGUAUAGAAACUGGUCCAUUUCAGCCAAAACUUCAAACAUAUCCAAAAAAGUUGUAUGGUUCCCAAAAUCGUGGAAUUUCUGCAUCAUACUUUGCUGAAUAUAAUUGGUUGGAAUAUAGCUUAGAAACUGCAGAUUCAGUGUAUUGCUUUCCUUGUCGGAUUUUUAGUACUACACCUUCAGAAGAAACAUUUACCUCAAAAGGUUUUAAUAACUGGAAAAAAUGGGUCUAAAGGUAUUGCCAAAGGUUCAAAAUCAAAAUUGCAACUACACUCAUCUACUAUCUACCAUAUAAAUUGUAUGACAAAAUGGUCUAUGCGUAAACUAGCAGAUCAGUCUGGUUCUAUACAUACUUCAUUGUAUAAUGCCCACUGUGAAGUAGUAGUUAAAAAUCAAAACUAUAUUAAAGGUCUCAUCGAUAUUUUAUUAUUUCUUGCACGCCAAGGUCUAGCGUUUAGAGGCCACAAUGAAAGCGAUACUUCACUAAACCAAGGAAACUUUAAAGAGAUGUGUAAGCCUCUUUCUGACUAUAAUUCUAACUUCAAUGAUAUGUUUAGUCAUGAAAUAAUCAAUUAUACUAGUCCUAAGAUACAAAAUGAGCUAAUUGAGAUCUGUGCUGACAAUUUAUUGAAUAUUAUAGUUGAUGAAGUUAAUGAAGUAUCUUUUUUUUCAAUUAUGUGCGAUGAAGCCAAGUAAUUGGUUCUUAAACACUAAAGUUAAAACUAGGUUUUGUGGAUGUUUCUACUAAUCAAAAUGCUGAUUCUCUUUCAUCAGCUAUUAUUUUAUUUUAAAAAAAAAUUACCUUAGACAAAAUACCAAUUAUUGCACAAAGCUAUGAUGGAGCAAGUGUUAUGUCAGGUACUAGAGGUGGUGUACAGAAGAAGCUAAAAGAUUAUUAUCCAUAUGCUGUGUAUAUACAUUGUAUGGCACAUAAACUUAACUUGGUUAUACUAGAUAUGUGUAAAAACAUAAUGCAAUCUUAAACUGUAUUCAAUGCAUUAGAGCCUAUCUAUGUACACUUCUCGCAACCUUCAAAUAAUACAAAACUGCAAGACAUACAAAAGAAUUUGAAUAUGAAAAAAAUUGCACUUACUGCUAUUAGUGAUACAAGAUGGGUAUGUCAUUAUAAGAAUAGUAAAUCAGUUAUUGAAAAUUUUAAAUUUAUUGCAAUUGUUUUACAAAAUUAAGUUGAUGAAAAUAAUGAUAGGGAUAUUUCCAGAGCUAUUGGAAUUUUAGCAAUGAUACAAAAUGGUUCCUUUAUUGUUCAUCUUCAUAUUAUAAAUUAUGUAUUGGGUAUCACCAAUAUUUUAAGCAAUAAAUUGCAAAAUACAAAUGGGACAUUAGGUGAAGCCGCUUGUCUAAUUAAUGGAAUUAUAAAUACAUUUGAAAAUAGUAGAAAUUCAGAUUCAUACUCAGAUGUUUGGAAUGCAAUAGUCACAUUUUCUCUUGAAAAUAAUAUAGAUUUGGAAAUGCCUUCGACAAUAGCUUCAUUAUCAAAAAGAAAAAUACAAGAGCCUGCAGCAUUAAAGGAUUUUCAUGUUACAACAGCCACUGGUGCAGACGAUGAAGGUAUUCAAUAUGAAGAUAAUGCCAAAGAAUAUUGGAAAAAACAUGUUUUCUAUCCUGUGAUUGAUAAUAUUGUAGUUUACAUGAAACACAGAUUUUUACCAGAAAGUCUUAAACUGGCCAUAUAAAUUGAUAACUUCAUAAAUUUAGACUAUAAACAAAGUGAAAUUUUUUUAAACCAGUAUAAGGCUUUAUUAAAUAUUGUUAAAAAAAAUUUGUUGUGAUACUCAAUUGGAAAAGAUUAUUAACAGUCAUCAGGAACAAUUAAAGCAGUUAAAGGGUAUCAUGGAAAAAUCUGUUUUCCCAAAUUUAUACAAAAUGCUACAUUUAGUGCUUUCAAUUCCAAUAAGUUCUACAUCUUGUGAAAGAACAUUCUCAGCGAUGCGUCGAAUAAACAUUUACAUAAGGUCAACCAUGCUACCAAAUCGAUUUUCAAAGUUAUCUAUCAUAGCAAUUGAGAGAGAUUUGUCAAGCGUUCUAAACAAAGAAGACAUUUUAAAUAAAUUUGCCAAUACUGAGCGGAGGCUUAAGCUGAAAUAGUUAUCUUUAAAAUGUCUUUAAAGUUCACUUACGUUUUAAGAAUUAUCUUGUAUCUAAAACAAUACUUACCAAUAUGUUAUAAUUGUAAUGUUUACCUACCUCAAUACCACUUUUUUAUUAUUUGUUUUAUACAUGCCAUACACACUACAAAAUGUUAAGUAAAUAAUAAUAAAAUAAUAUUUUAAUUUAAUAAUUAAUGUUAUUUGAGGAACGAGUAUAGGGGGUGUAGGGGGCGGAGCUCCCCACAUUUGUUUUUUAUCUUAAAUAUGUUAGGGCUGAAGCCCCCCCCCCCCCUAUCUUUAAGGUCUAGUUACGCCUAUGAAAGGGGGUUAAAUACCGAUCGUCUGCCGUCAAUUAUGUAUACAAUAAUAAGCGACAGUGGACAAAAUGCGAAUCAUGUUAUAUGUAUAAUCAUUAAACAUUUAUACCUAAAACAACUGUACUGUAUAAUAAAUACAAUAUAUAUAAUAGCUGUGUAGGUACGGUAUGCGUGUUCGUUGUCCACAUUGGUUUUUUAUAUUAAAUAUGUUAGGGCUUAAGCCCCCCCCCCCCCCUAUCUUUAAGGUCUAG